rnacentral:tRNA from 1 species
GAAUAAAUAGCUAAAUUUAAGUAUAUUUUUUACACUAAUAUGAUGCUGAUUGCUUUAUUUU